AAGUCGUAACAGGGUUUCCGUAGGUGAACCUGCGGAAGGAUCAUUAAAGAGUUAGGGUCUCACAGGCCGGAACCUCCAACCCUUUGUCGUUAUAACUACCUCGUUGCUUUGGCGGGACCGCUCGGUCUCGAGCUGCCGGUCUUCGGCCCGGCAUGCGCCCGCCAGAGUCUACUCAAACCCUUGUUUUAACCGGUCGUCUGAGUUAAAACUUUGAAUUAAAUCAAA
rnacentral:misc_RNA from 1 species